rnacentral:rRNA from 1 species
AGCGUAGGACGCAAGCGUUAUCCGGAGUUACUGGGCGUAAAGCGCGGGCAGGCGGUUCUGCCAGUCUGAUGUGAAAUCUCCUCGCUCAACGGGGAGCAGCCAUUGGAAACUACAGAACUGGAGUCUGACAGAGGUAGGCGGAAUUCCGGGUGGAGUGGUGAAAUGCGUAGAGAUCCGGAGGAACACCAGAGGCGAAGGCGGCCUACUGGGUCAGUACUGACGCUGAGCCGCGAAAGCCAGGGGAGCGAACGGG